rnacentral:tRNA from 1 species
GGGAUGGUGGCUCAGUGGUAGAGCAUUUGCCUCACACGUGUGAGGUACUGGAUUCAAUUCUCAGCAUCCCA